rnacentral:rRNA from 1 species
UACGAAGGGGGCUAGCGUUGCUCGGAAUCACUGGGCGUAAAGGGUGCGUAGGCGGGUCUUUAAGUCAGGGGUGAAAUCCUGGAGCUCAACUCCAGAACUGCCUUUGAUACUGAGGAUCUUGAGUUCGGGAGAGGUGAGUGGAACUGCGAGUGUAGAGGUGAAAUUCGUAGAUAUUCGCAAGAACACCAGUGGUGAAGGCGGCUCACUGGCCCGAUACUGACGCUGAUGCACGAAAGCGUGGGGAGCAAACAGG